rfam:Beta vulgaris subsp. vulgaris chromosome 7, whole genome shotgun sequence.
GGCCGGUGAUGUAAGGAUAAUAUUUGCUACUCUUGAUUGGAAUCAUCAAUGAUUCUAAAUGAUGAUCAUUUUCCACCAAGAUCUCUGAGGCC